rnacentral:rRNA from 1 species
GAUGAACGCUGGCGGCGUGCCUAAUACAUGCAAGUCGAGCGAACAGACGAGGAGCUUGCUCCUCUGACGUUAGCGGCGGACGGGUGAGUAACACGUGGAUAACCUACCUAUAAGACUGGGAUAACUUCGGGAAACCGGAGCUAAUACCGGAUAAUAUAUUGAACCGCAUGGUUCAAUAGUGAAAGACGGUUUUGCUGUCACUUAUAGAUGGAUCCGCGCCGCAUUAGCUAGUUGGUAAGGUAACGGCUUACCAAGGCAACGAUGCGUAGCCGACCUGAGAGGGUGAUCGGCCACACUGGAACUGAGACACGGUCCAGACUCCUACGGGAGGCAGCAGUAGGGAAUCUUCCGCAAUGGGCGAAAGCUUGACGGAGCAACGCCGCGUGAGUGAUGAAGGUCUUCGGAUCGUAAAACUCUGUUAUUAGGGAAGAACAAAUGUGUAAGUAACUAUGCACGUCUUGACGGUACCGAAUCAGAAAGCCACGGCUAACUACGU